CCUACGGGAGGCAGCAGUGGGGAAUUUUGGACAAUGGGCGCAAGCCUGAUCCAGCAAUGCCGCGUGAGUGAAGAAGGCCUUCGGGUUGUAAAGCUCUUUUGUCAGGGAAGAAACGGUGUUUCCUAAUACGGAAUGCUAAUGACGGUACCUGAAGAAUAAGCACCGGCUAACUACGUGCCAGCAGCCGCGGUAAUACGUAGGGUGCAAGCGUUAAUCGGAAUUACUGGGCGUAAAGCGUGCGCAGGCGGUUAUAUAAGUCAGAUGUGAAAUCCCCGGGCUCAACCUGGGAACUGCAUUUGAGACUGUAUGGCUAGAGUGUGUCAGAGGGGGGUAGAAUUCCACGUGUAGCAGUGAAAUGCGUAGAUAUGUGGAGGAAUACCGAUGGCGAAGGCAGCCCCCUGGGAUAACACUGACGCUCAUGCACGAAAGCGUGGGGAGCAAACAGGAUUAGAUACCCUGGUAGUCCACGCCCUAAACGAUGUCUACUAGUUGUCGGGACUUAAUUGUCUUGGUAACGCAGCUAACGCGUGAAGUAGACCGCCUGGGGAGUACGGUCGCAAGNUUAAAACGUCAAAUGAAUUGACGG
rnacentral:rRNA from 1 species